CUUCUCAACUUCUAUCCGUUAUGUUAGUUAUGGCAGUUGUGUCAAUUUGCAGCCCAAUGGGUGUCACCAAAACAGGAAAUCAAUUUUCAUCUAGGACACAAUUUGUUUGGGAUAAGUGCAAAAAACCCCCUUGAUACCUAGGGAUAGUGUAAAACUAGUCCCUAUUUUUUUAUAAUGUGCAUGUUAGUUUCUAAAAUUCAAAAACUAAAUAUGAAAAUUUUAUUUUAUCCUUUUGAUUCCAAUUUUGCCCCUCACCCAUUAGUAUACACCGAACGGCCCAGCUCGCCCGAGAUGUGACCGGAUUGUCAUCGGAAAUUUCACCGGAAUCGAAUUUUCGUUGGAGAAAACGGGUGGGGCGUGUGACAGCGCGUAGCGUGAGAUCUACACGCUGCAUUUCUGGUGGCGCGUGCAGACGCGUGUAGUGGCUUUUAUUUGUAGCGUUGUGUUCAUCUUGGUCUUGUUGACCUUAUUACGUGAUUAAUGCGUGAUUUUGAUAACAAAGUUCCAUCAAAGCUCAAAACCACAAGAGAUCCAUCAAUAACAAGCCCUAAAAGCAACCAUACGAAUCGAAUCAAAGCUCAGUUGUCGACUAUAACGGUGAUAAGGUCCUCUCUUUCUUCAAGCUUGAGCUUGGGAAUGACGAGCUUGAGAACACCGUUCCUCAUCUGAGCCUCGAUCUGGUCCAUCUUAUAGUACUCACCUUCUGGAAUUGGGAUUGACCCAAAGUAAUUCCUCGAACCAAAGCUCCAUCAAAACCGUCUUCCACUUCUUCAGCUUUGACGUGGAGAAAGUGGGUUUCAGCCCAAACCCUCAAAUCGUCCUUAGAAAUACCAGGAAGCUAGAUCAAAGCAGAGGAGGUGCAGAUUACUGGAAAGUAUCUCAUAUCCCAGAGGUUCUAUUUGCAGCCUUUGUAGACGGUGAUUGGGAGGUGUACAAAAUCUGAGAAACACGGUGCAAGAGAGAUGAAGGCGAUCAUAGAUGACCUCAGCUGCCCACAUUGCCUUUUCCUUUUUCCAUUUCAGCCUCUUUUUUUUUUUUUUUUUCAUAGCCAGAGGAAGAAGGUUGGUUAUAAGAACCACUGAAUUGUUCACCAUCCAUUGGCCCACUUCGGAACUUCUUGGAUAGAACCAUAAGUUGGUUUUUUUUUUUUUUU